GUCUCACAUAUAGUUUCAUAAAUUUGAGUGAGAUUACAUGAUGACUAGAGUUUACAUGAUGAAUGACAAAUACAAUCUAGGCAGUUACUAUUCUUUCUUGUCCAUCAGCGCGCACCCAAGGCAAAGAACUUUGUGAGAUGCUUCGCUCAAUAUUUCUUAUCUUAGCAGGAUAGUCAUCCACAAAGAGGGACAUGUCGCUGAACUGGUUAAAAUCCUCCAGAUCCGCUACACCAUC
rnacentral:lncRNA from 1 species